CGUCUCUACUAAAAAUACAAAAAAUUAGCUGGGCGUGGUGGCGGGCGCCUGUAGUCCCAGCUACUCGGAGAGGCUGAGGCGGGAGAAUGGCGUGAACCCGAGAGGCGGAGCUUGCAGUGAGCCAAGAUUGCGCCACUGCACUCCAGCCUGGGCGACAGAGCAAGACUCUGUCUCAAAAAAAAAAAAAAAAAAAAAAAAAAAGAUGGCACAUUCUAUGUCGUGGGUAUUUUACCACAAUGUUAAAAAAAAAAAAAAAAGGAAGGCCGGGCGCGGUGGCUCACACCUGUAAUCCCAGCAGUUUGGGAGGCCAAGGUGGGCAGAUCACCUGAGGUCAGGAGUUGAGACCAGCCUGACCAACAUGGAGAAACCCGUCUCUAUUAAAAACACAAAAUUAGCCGGGCGUGGUGGCGCACGCCUGUAAUCUCAGCUACUCGGGAGGCUGAGGCAGGAGAAUCACUUGAACCUGGAGGUGGGGAGGUUGCAGUAAGCUGAGAUCGCGCCAUUGCACUCCAGCCUGGGCAACAAGAGCGAAACUCAAUCUCAAAAGAAAAAAAAAAAAAGGAAAAGAAAAGAAGCAAGACACUUGUCAACUAAGAUCCUAUCAGCUAAACAUGGUUUCUUUGUACAAAUCUGUGUUUUCUGGCUUUUCCACAAUAGAGAUAUAUUAUUUGUGUAAUAAGAUAAACAUGUGGCCGGGUGCAGUGGCUUAUUCAUGCCUAUAAUCCCAGCAUUUUGGGAGGCCAAGGUAGGAGGAUCACUUAAGCCCAGGAGUUCAAGACCAGCCUGGGCAACAAGGUGAAACCUCGUCUCUACAAAAGACACAAAAGUUAGCUGGGUGCUGUGGCGUGUGCCUGUAAUUCCAGCACUUUGGGAGGCUGAGGUGGGAGGAUUGCUUGCACCCAGGAGUGGGGGACCUUCCUUAGCAACAUAGCAAGACUGCGUCUCAUUAAAAAAAAAUUUGGCGGGGUGCAGUGGCUCACGUCUGUAAUCCCAGCACUUUGGGAGGCUGAGGCAGGCUUUUGAGACCAGCCUGGCCAACAUGGUGAAACCCUGUCUCUACUAAAAAGACAAACAUUAGCUGGGCGUGGUGGCACACGCCUGUAGUCCCAGCUACGUGGGAGGCUGAGGCAAGAGAAUUGCUUGAACAUGGGAGGUGGAGGUUGCAGAGCCGAGAUUGCGCCACUGCACUCCAGCCUGGAUGACAGAGACUCUGUCUCAGAAAAAAAAAAGUAAAUAAAAAAUAAAGGAAAACAUUUAAUAAAACAUAUGAUUUUGUAUCUGUAUAUAUCAUGUCUCUACUCCUCAGGAACAUCAAUGUCCUGGUAGACACACUGGGGGCGCUGUUCUACAAUAAAAGAAGUGAAAAAAACGACAAGUAAAUGCCAUUGGAUCCAGACUGAAGGAAAAUUGUUCUCCAGGACAUUACUGGGACACUUGGUGAUAUUUAAUCAAGGACUGACUGUAGACAGUACUGUGGUCUCAGUGCUGUGUCUGCUGGGUUUGAUGAUACGCCGUCGUUUUUAGGACAGUGCCAGCCACCCUGUGUAUCAUCACAGGAGCCACAGAGAUGAGCCUCACCUCGGCUGUGUGGGAGGAGGCAACACUCACCUAAGCAGGGACGUGAGGCAGAAGUGCUAGUGCUUCUAGAGAUAACGACACCCCUCCACGCCCAGGUAGCAGGGCUCACGGCGGGCCGUGCGUGCUCCAAGGAACAGGAUCAUGCCGGGAACUGAGAAGACCCCAGGGGAUGUGCAGGUCACCACUGCGGCUUGAUGAACCACCCCAAGAUGUAACGGCAUUUAAAACACUAUUUUAUUUGUAAUCCCAGCAUGUUGGGAGGCCGAGGUGGGCGGAUCAUGAGGUCAAGAGAUCAAGACCAUCCUGGCCAACAUGGUGAAACCCCGUCUCUACUAAAAAUACAAAAAUUAGCUGGGCAUGGUGGUGCGUGCCUGUAGUCUCAUAUACUUGGGAGGCUGAGGCAGGAGAAUUGCUUGAACCUGGGAGGCAGAGGUUACAGUGAGCCGAGAUUGCACCACUGCACUCCAGGCUGGGCAACAGAGUGAGACUCUGUCUCAAAAAAAAAAAAAAAAAAAAAUUAGCCAGGCGGCUGGGCACAGUGGCUCACUCCUGUAAUCCUAGCACUUUGGGAGGCCGAGGCGGGCAGAUCACUUGAGGUUAGGAGCUCAAGAUCAGCCUGGGCAACAUGGCGAUACCCUGUCUCUGCUAAAAAUACAAAAAUUACCUGGGCAUGGUGGCACAGCACCUGUAAUCCCAGCUACUUGGGAGGCUGAGGCAGGAGAAUCACUUGAACCUGGGAGGCAGAGGUUGCAGUGAGCCAAGAUCGUGCCACUGCACUCCAGCCUGGGCGACACAGUGAGACUGUCUCAAAAAAAAAAAAAAAAUUAGCCAGGCAUGGUGGCAUGCACCUAUAGUCCCAGCUACUCAGGCGGCAGAGGCAGGAGGAUUGCUUAAUCUCAGGAGAUUGAGGCUGCAGUGAGCUAUGAUUGUGCCACUGCAUUCCAGCCUGGGCAACAGAGCAAGACCCUGUUCAAAAUAAAUAAAUAAAUAACCAUUUCAU